rnacentral:rRNA from 1 species
GGGGGGGGGGGGCGGGGGGGCUGGCGGGGGCAGGUCGGGCGGGGGAGGGGGGCUUGCUCCUGGAUUCAGCGGCGGACGGGUGAGUAAUGCCUAGGAAUCUGCCUGGUAGUGGGGGAUAACGUCCGGAAACGGGCGCCAAUACCGCAUACGUCCUGCGGGAGAAAGUGGGGGAGCUUCGGACCUCACGCUAUCAGAUGAGCCUAGGUCGGAUUAGCUAGUUGGUGGGGUAAAGGCCUACCAAGGCGACGAUCCGUAACUGGUCUGAGAGGAUGAUCAGUCACACUGGAACUGAGACACGGUCCAGACUCCUACGGGAGGCAGCAGUGGGGAAUAUUGGACAAUGGGCGAAAGCCUGAUCCAGCCAUGCCGCGUGUGUGAAGAAGGUCUUCGGAUUGUAAAGCACUUUAAGUUGGGAGGAAGGGCAGUAAGUUAAUACCUUGCUGUUUUGACGUUACCAACAGAAUAAGCACCGGCUAACUUCGUG